UGGCCAUAGAAUAAUUUAUUUCAUCAACUAGAACUUAAUCGUAUUCUCAUUCCUAAAUACAAGUAGCUAUGUAUACAAUCAAAAAUCCUUUUACUAUGGAAGAAGAGACAAAUAUCAGAGGGUUCAUUCAAAUUCUUUAGUGUGAUGUCUCAUCAGUUCCUCUGUCUAGCCCUUUUCACCAGUGACUACGUGAACCAUAUACACCACCCCAAAGUCCUGUCACCCUGAGUUGAAAAUGUUUGCCACCACCUCUAAAUCAUGUAGGACUUUUCAUCUGCAUUGUAAUUAUCAUGUGCUGAAGUGUAUUGCUGUCUCUUGUCUAGAUAUGGUCUUCCUUAAGUCAUAAGGUCUCACCACAGUAUAAAUUUUUGGGAGCAGUGACUGUGUCUUAUAUUCUGCAAUGCCUAGUCUAGUGCCUUAUAAAUAAUUGAUUCUUAAAAAAUUCUUCUUAUACUACAAGAGAAAUAAUCUUAAUGACUUCUUGGUUUCUUGUAGAAUUUUAGGAAAGAAAGAUGGAUCAACCUAGCGGAAGGAGUUUUAUGCAAGUAUUAUGUGAGAAAUACAGUCCUGAAAACUUUCCUUACCGCCGUGGUCCUGGGAUGGGAGUCCACGUCCCAGCUACACCUCAGGGUUCUCCUAUGAAAGAUCGCCUCAACCUCCCAAGUGUCCUGGUGUUGAACAGCUGUGGAAUCACCUGUGCAGGGGAUGAAACAGAGAUUGCUGCCUUCUGCGCUCAUGUGUCAGAACUAGAUCUUUCUGACAACAAACUCGAAGACUGGCAUGAGGUCAGUAAAAUUGUGUCAAAUGUUCCCCAGUUGGAGUUUCUAAACCUGAGUUCCAACCCUCUGAAUUUGUCGGUUUUAGAAAGAACAUGUGCUGGGUCCUUCUCUGGAGUUCGCAAACUUGUCCUCAAUAACAGCAAAGCUUCUUGGGAGACAGUCCACACGAUACUGCAGGAGUUACCAGAUUUGGAGGAGCUCUUCCUGUGCCUUAAUGACUAUGAAACGGUGUCCUGUCCUUCUAUUUGCUGUCACUCUCUGAAGCUCCUACACAUUACAGACAAUAACCUCCAAGACUGGACUGAAAUACGGAAGUUAGGAGCUAUGUUUCCUUCCCUGGAUACCCUCGUCCUGGCCAACAAUCACUUGAAUGCUAUUGAGGAGCCCGAUGAUUCACUGGCCGGGUUGUUUCCUAACCUGCGAUCCAUCAGCCUCCAUAAGUCAGGUUUGCAGUCCUGGGAAGACAUUGACAAACUAAAUUCAUUCCCUAAACUUGAAGAAGUGAGAUUGUUAGGAAUUCCUCUUCUGCAGCCAUAUACCACUGAGGAGCGACGGAAGUUGGUAAUAGCCAGAUUGCCAUCAGUUUCCAAGCUUAAUGGCAGUGUUGUUACAGAAGAUGAGCGAGAAGACUCUGAGAGGUUCUUUAUCCGCUACUAUGUGGCUGUCCCACAGGAAGAAGUGCCCUUCAGGUAUCAUGAACUGAUCACAAAAUAUGGGAAGUUGGAGCCUUUGGCAGAAGUGGAUCUAAGACCCCAGAGCAGUGCAAAAGUAGAAGUCCACUUUAACGACCAGGUGGAAGAAAUGAGCAUUCGUCUGGACCAAACAGUUGCGGAACUAAAGAAACAACUAAAAACUCUAGUGCAGUUACCCACAAGCAGCAUGCUUCUGUACCACUUCGACCACGAAGCGCCCUUUGGCCCGGAGGAGAUGAAGUACAGCUCUCGGGCCUUGCACUCCUUUGGCAUUCGGGAUGGAGAUAAGAUCUACGUGGAAUCCAAAACAAAGUAGCCUCUAAGACCAGACUUGUACACACACAAGGAUUCCUGCAGGGCAUUUGUUUCCCCGUGGUUUUCUUUAGGAGGGAGGAGAUUGUUUUUGUUUUGUUUUGCUUUGUUUAGGUUAGGGGGUGGCGUAUAUUUUCCCCCAGAAAGGACAUUUUUUACCAAGAUUUCUUUGGCUCUGCCAGCAGAAUUGGCCACAUCUCCAGCCCAUGUGCCCUCCCUCCUGAGAGGAUGACGACGAAAUCACCGUCUUACUGUGUGUACUGGGGUCGCCUGCUGCUCAGUUGUCGUCACGGUUUAGGUAGACUUGUGAGGACGGCAUGCGCAGCACCUCCCUCAGAAGGGUGUCUCGUGGUACAAAAGUCAGGAAACAAGGAUCUUUGCAGGACUGGCCAGCACUUCUCUCUCCCAGUUCCUCCUCUGCCCUCCCUCUCACUCUUCGUGGGGUUUGUUUGGUUGUUUUUCAUUGUGACUUGUGUCAGCACGUUUGCUAAUAGUUUUAUUCUGUCCAAAAUUAACUUCUCAACUUGAGUGAUGUUUUCCUUCAUUUCUGCCUUUUGAAAUAAUUUUAAGUGUUUUAAGCAUUUUUCAACCUGAUUCUGAUCUCAGGUACUCAAUUAGAACCUAUAACUAUAUUAGGAUCUUGAAGAAGAGUAGAUGGAGAGUUAGAACUCCAGGAAAACUUGCUGUUACUCUGCAAAGCCUGGCAGAGCAGUGUGAUCUCUUUGUAUCUAACUACCCCAGUUUUACUGUUCUUCACGUAUUGUAUCAACCAUUGCUUUUGUAACAUGAAAUAUGUCAGAUUCCAGAGGGUUAUUUUUGCUUAUGGAUGUAUUUCCUCACAUCUUUCUUUCUUUUUCAUUACUUUCAACUGUUGGGAAUAGAGGCCUGACUUUUUGAAGAAUCCAAUAGAGUAAUGCAUAUACGUGCCAGGAGAGCUGAGCAUGAGCUAAUGAACCGCAGUGUGAGCGAGGGAGCAGAGUGGGGAGCAUACGAGAGAAGAGGCUCCUGUGACGCACCUGCCUGGGUCACCCCCUGAAGGCCUUGCUCCUGCACUGUGCAUUAAAAGAGGGAACUAUGGUCAAAGGGAGCUUUGAUUCCCAAUUCUUCCCUGGGAUUUUGUGGUGUCAUAAUUGAACAAUUCGUUUUGUUUUACAGUUUCAUUUAGUUGCCCCUACAGGACAACUCUGACUAAUUUAUGAGUAAAGUAUAAGUGUCAAAACUUCAGAA